CUUGCGCACUCCAGCGGUUAUGUGCUUUAGGCUUGAGGUGAUGUUGUUGCAGCAGACGACUUUGAAGCUUCUGUCUGAGAGAUAGCUGAGAAGACCCUGAUGCCAGACUCUAUCAAAGGCCUCCUGGAUAUCCAUGUACACAGCACUGCAAUGCCGCUGCGCUUCGUAGGAUCUGAGGAUGAAUUGCGUGACUCGUCCGAUUUGCUGUUCCGCUGAGUGCUGACUUCUGAAGCCAAAUUGAUGGUUUGGAAUAGCCAUGGCAAAGCUUUCUUCUUCAAAAAAGUCGUUUGAGGAUGAGGCGUUCAAGGAUUUUGGAGAAGCCUGUAAGCAGGCUGAUGGGUCUGACUUUGGGAAGUGGCCGAACUGCAGAGCCGAGUUGCAUAUCAACAGCAGAUACUCGAUGGCGGAUGUUGGCAGAGAUUUAAUGACGCGAUUGUCGAUACUGUCGAAACCGGGUGCCUUUUUCGUCUUGAGCUUCUUAAUUUCCGAUUUGAGUUCCUGGAUGGUCACAGGUCUGCCGUGAUCUUUGGCGUGAAACGUGCUUCCAGGUGCUGCGCAAAGGCCUCAGCUUUUUCCUCCGUAGUUUUGCACCAAGGUUCAGCAGGAGCUUGCUGCCCUUCCGCAACGUGCCUUCUGACUGGCAGAUUUGGGAUGGGCUGUCUCUUGAUUGUGUUGCUUGAUCCGUUUACGUAUUCUGUUAGUCAGCUGAUUGAUAGUGCGUGCAAUGAGGGGGUUGGAGCACCUAUCUUUUUGGUUGAUUUUGCAGAGAAUUCUUUUGAUCUUGAUCGCUUUCAGCGUUUGCGAGUCAAGAUGGAAGCUUUGCGGUCCGUACACUGUGUGCUGGUUACUUGAGGUUUGCGAAGCCAAUUCAGCUGCAAUGUAAAUGUUCUUUUCAAGGAUAGCCACUGCAUCAUCUAUGUCGUCGCCGUUGUGAAGUUCAGUCUCCAGAUGGAUUCGCUGUUCUAGGUCUCAGGAGGAGUCUAAUAAUUUGCAUGUUGUGAUCUGAACCUAAGUCAUAUGAUGUUUCGAUGUGGAUUAAAUUGUGUCUAAUACCCUUAUAAA